rnacentral:tRNA from 1 species
GUCCCUGUAGGGCAAUGGACAGCACAUUGGACUUCUAAUCCAAAGGUCGUGGGUUGGAAUCCCACUUGGAAUG